ensembl:lincRNA linc-134 ncRNA
CGUUGCCUUUUAGCUUAAUAAAACUUUAAUUUGGUAGAAACAAAACACUUUAUUAGAAAAACAAAUGAUAACAACAAGAAUCAAUUUAAAAAAUUAGAAUAAGUAACAAAUAAAUAAGUGCAGCUAAUGCUGAGUGGAGGAGCCGGCCAUCGUUGCCAAUCAGCUUGAAGUGUUUUGUCCUUUGUCAUUGGAAUUAUUAUUUCUUCAAUCAAAAGGACUUUGUUAAAUUUACAGCAUCAAAAUCACUUCAAAGCUUGUAGAAGUAAAGCAGAACGCGUCUUUAUAGAAGUCAAUCUGCGACUUUUGCGACAGUUUUGAAGGCGUCUUCCGAAGCAAGUACAAACUUGUUAUCGGCGACUUCAAUGCUCGAAAGGUAUGCAGACAAAGCAGCGAAACGAAAUCAUGACGUAACACCUUCCCCCUCUCUCUUUCAGGAAGAUAGCCGACCAAAACAUCGUAAAGAUUGGAGGUGAUGGCGAAAUUGUAGACGUACCAAGUUGGUGAUACCAACUAUGCUGCUAAAUACUUGGCACAUCGCCGAUGCUACUUACAGGCAGUCUGUCAUCUGCAUAUGUAACACCUCCCCCUCACACUUCAGGCGGAUGGCAUAUCAUCUUCAUCGUUCUUCACUCUGUUCACAGGCAGAUCACAGGCACAUGCAAUGUUAUGUUCACAAUGAUUCAUACAGUAAGUAAUUAGAGUCAGAAAUCAGUCGAAAUAUAUUUUUAUGUUGUGAAACAGUGAAAAAGUUGUUUGUGGCAAACGUUUGGCACAGUACUAUUUCAUUCUCUCGAGCCUUCCUCAGUUAAGAAAACUCUUUUUUUUUCUCUACCCGUGGAAUUUUUUGAACAAUCUCACAUUCUUUGUUUUUGUGGCUGUUUUUUUUGAGUGGUCAAUUCCUCAUAAAACUGAUUUUUCGC